UUUCUAGAAGAAAUCUUUAUCCAUAUGGCCACACACUUGUGAGUAGAGAACUGUGAACUGUGAAGACGGGAUAGUUAACUGUUGUCUUAGACUUAGUUGAAUUAAUGUUCUCGUUUAAAUAGUUGAAAACUGGUAAGAAAUGGCUGUGAGUUCUUGCCUAAGUUGUGUUUAAUAAAUGUAAAAGGUGGUUUUUUCAAACACCAUACUAAUUGAAUCAUCCUAUCACAAGGAAAAAUGAAAGUGUGAUUCAGUAUAGUAGACUUAUAACCUGAAUUUUGCAGUGUGCCAAGUAAAAGAGUAAGACCACAGACUACAGCCAUCAUACCGAAGUCAGCAUGCUCAACUUUUCCUAGUUAUGGAAUCUAGAUGGUGACUGCAGCACUGUGAGGCACUAUUGCAACAAGAAAAUUCAGCUGGAAGAAACUUAUCCCAAGUCAAGUCACCAAGUCAAGAUAACACCGUCGAUGAUACGUCCUUCAAAGGGCUCAGCCACCUUCCAAGUCCCGUUGCGAUGUCGACCGGAAAUACAUCCAGACAUCCAGAUGAGCAGCCAGCCAGCAUGUAAAGGAGAGUUCUCUGUGGUGGCGGCUGGCCGAGUGACCGCCUACAGGUUGAUCAGCAUUGAGCAUAAGGGCGACGUAAAAUCGAAUAAAAUUGUGAUAAUGCUCGACGGUGAUCUGUUCGUCGUCGCCGUGAAUCCCGCCUCGUGUCACUGGUGUCAAAACCGUCGGCGUGAUGCGGUAGAGAUGGUCCGACAGUUCGACAUAACGCCGAAGGUCCGUGUUGGCGGGUAAACAAGCUGCAAAGGAGUUAUACAACCUGGAGCGAUGACACUCGAAGGGUAAAUUUGUUUGACGGAACUCGCAAUCAAAUUAAAAGGCGAAACAUCCUGUCCAUAAGGCGAAAUGGGUGUUGGAGGAUAAUAGUCGACCACU